UACGUAGGGUCCAAGCGUUGUCCGGAUUUAUUGGGCGUAAAGAGCUCGUAGGCGGUUCGGUAAGUCGGAUGUGAAAACUCAGGGCUCAACUCGGAGACGCCAUCCGAUACUGCUGUGACUGGAGUCUGGUAGGGGAUCACGGAAUACCUGGUGUAGCGGUGAAAUGCGCAGAUAUCAGGUGGAACACCGAUGGCGAAGGCAGUGAUCUGGGCCAGUACUGACGCUGAGGAGCGAAAGCCAGGGGAGCAAACGGG
rnacentral:rRNA from 1 species